rnacentral:misc_RNA from 1 species
UUGAAUAAACUUAGUUGGGUUGUUGCUGGUUCUUAGGGACAUGUGCACACCUGGCAAAUGUUUUUAACCACCUGUGCACCUUUUGUAGAUCUGAAAUACUUCUUGAGGAAACUCAGUUUGAGGAUUGCUGUGUGAAAACCAGCUUUCCUUGCAUUUCAGGUCUAUGUUUUAUAUAUACUCCAAAAGCAAGUAAUAGAAUGUUAUUAUAUUGGCCUUUGAGCCUUUAAACAAAUA